rnacentral:rRNA from 1 species
GACGGGGGAUGCAAGUGUUAUCCGGAAUCACUGGGCGUAAAGCGUCUGCAGGUGGUUUCCUAAGUCCACUGUUAAACCUUGAGGCUCAACCUCAAAUCUGCAUUGGAAACUAGGAGACUUGAGUAUAGUAGGGGUAGAGGGAAUUUCCAGUGGAGCGGUGAAAUGCGUAGAUAUUGGAAAGAACACCGAUGGCGAAGGCACUCUACUGGGCUAUUACUGACACUCAGGAGCGAAAGCUAGGGGAGCAAAUGGG